AACUAUUAAGUUAAAUUUUAACAAAUGUUUUGAAAACAUUUAUAAGAGGUUUAAACCCUCUAAUAGUUU
rnacentral:tRNA from 1 species